GUAAACCCGUAAGGCGCAA
rnacentral:snRNA from 1 species